GAGUGAAAUGAUGGCGAUCAUCUUUCGGGACUGACCUGAAAUGAAGAGGAAAAUAAAAGGUAGCAAAGUUGGGACUGGCGAGAGAUUC
rfam:Pteropus alecto contig36016, whole genome shotgun sequence.